CCGCAUGGGGCUCACUUUUCACAGGAGAAUUUUAGAUGCAGCUUCUCUGAGCCGCUUCAGAUGGGAUGAGAGAGAUGCUUUCUCCAGUCUGUGAUGGAAAGCCCUUCAUUUCUGCCUUUGCCAAGCCUCUGAAGAUCUUCCUGCUAUUUUUAAGUGUUUCAGUGCAGCAGCAAUUUGGCUUUGAAGAACAGGGCUGUGUGGGGUGGUUUUCUAACCAUGGAAGUAUGGGGAAAGACUUGGAGAGGAGCGUGGAGCUUUGGGAGAACUUCCCUGCGUGCCUGCAUGGAGAGGUUUGUAAGCCUGCUUGCCUUUUCCCUCAUGGAAGUAGGACCUGCCUGCAUCCUGGCCCGCAUCCCAGCACUGCUUGGUUUGCACCCAGCCUGACCACUUGCUGUGGCUCUCCCACCUCCCUCUUUCCGCCGGUAGCCACACGUCUCCUGCUUCUCAUCAGAAAUGCAGUGCAUGUAAGGAGCAAAGCAUCCCCCUGCGCUGCAGCCGCUGUGCACUCGGACUGCUCCUCCACAGCCCCAACCCCGGGGCAGCGACUUCUACUUUCCCACUGAAUAGGUACCUGUUUAUGUAUCCCGGAGCGAUGUUUGUUUGCUCUUGCAUCCACAGACCACUGAGGACUCACAUUCAGCUGGUCUCCAUCAUAAUCUCGGAUUCUUCCCUGCAGAAGGUCUGUUCCGUGUGCCCAGGUGGCCAAGAAGGCCAACAGCAUCCUGGCUUGGAUCAGCUCCGGGGUGCCCAGCAGGAGCAGAGAAAGGAUUGUCCCCCUGCACUCUGUGCUGAUGAUGCAAUCAGCUGUGAAACGCUGGAGAUAACACUUUUGUCUAGGUUUUGAGCUUCAGUGGCUGUCUGAGAUGCAGCUCAGCAUGGCCCCAUGGCAGUACCUUACAUGCAUCCCUUGGAAGCAACCUCCCCCCGGCACUGGUGCCGCAAUGCACCCCAGGAGAGCCGAGCAGGCUGUAAGGAGCCCACCUUCCUCUGUACACAACGGGGAGAAGACAAAGCUGGUGGCACACAGGUGACUGAGCCCUGGGGAUCGCCAGUCUGCUCUCAAACAUGUACCUCAAACCCACGGCACCCAGCUGGCACAGGAUCAAUGCCUCCGAGCCUCUGCCACUGGCACCCACACACCAGGAGAUGCUGGAGGAGAGAUCGCUGGCACCGCGCAGGCUGGGCUGGCCCUUUCCAGCUGUUCUGGCUCUGAUCCCCCCCAGAGGAUUUCUUCCAGUUGUGCCCAAGUUUGCUGUGUCUGGCACGAUAACAAAAAUGAACGGAGUCCCCAACCCCCUCUAAAGCAUCCCCAUGCAACAAUUAGGAUGAGCAGGAACUAAUCAGAUCCAAGAGGAAACAUAAAGAGUGUUCUAUUCACGGCAAGAGAACGCAGACUCCAUGUGCGAGGAUGACAACAGGCCCCUUCGGUGAAAUGCAGUGGCUGCUUUUGAAGGCAAAUAUUUCUGGGGAGAGAUUUCCCGUCACCUUGCAGCCCAAGGAGCCAAUACCGCAUCAACCAGCAAUGCUAAAAAUGAAAGCGUUGAGAGGGUGAA